rnacentral:misc_RNA from 1 species
GAUGAAGAACGUAGCGAAAUGCGAUAAGUAGUGUGAAUUGCAGAAUUCAGUGAAUCAUCGAAUCUUUGAACGCACAUUGCGCCCCUUGGUAUCCCGAGGGGCAUGCCUGUUCGAGCGUCAUUUCACCACUCAAGCCUGGCUUGGUGUUGGGCGACGUCCCCUUUGGGGACGCGCCUCGAAACGCUCGGCGGCGUGGCACCGGCUUUAAGCGUAGCAGAAUCUUUUGCUUUGGAAGUCGGGGCCCCGUCUGCCGGAAGACCUACUCGCAAGGUUGACCUCGGAUCAGGCAGGGAUACCCGCUGAACUUAAGCAUAUCAAUAAGCGGAGGA